AUGAAUUCGGUCACAUUUUUCCCAUGGUUUGUUAUGACGAAUUCUGCGACAAAGCUUGUAAUGGGCAAGAUUCAAGUUAAAUUGUAUGGGCCAAAUAUGGAUCUUGACAAUGAAGUCAUCAAGGUGAAUAUGAAGGUGGAUUCACUUGAAGGUUUGGAAAUUGAUGGUAUAUGGUUUCAAAUAAGCACAAAUUUGGAGGAUGCCGAAACUUGA